GCGAAUGGCUCAUUAAAUCAGUUAUCGUUUAUUUGAUAGUACCUUACUACUUGGAUAACCGUGGUAAUUCUAGAGCUAAUACAUGCUGAAAACCCCAACUUCGGGAGGGGUGUAUUUAUUAGAUAAAAAACCAACGCCCUUCGGGGCUUCUUGGUGAUUCAUGAUAACUUUACGGAUCGCAUGGCCUUGCGCCGGCGACGGUUCAUUCAAAUUUCUGCCCUAUCAACUUUCGAUGGUAAGGUAUUGGCUUACCAUGGUUUCAACGGGUAACGGGGAAUUAGGGUUCGAUUCCGGAGAGGGAGCCUGAGAAACGGCUACCACAUCCAAGGAAGGCAGCAGGCGCGCAAAUUACCCAAUCCCGACACGGGGAGGUAGUGACAAUAAAUACUGAUACAGGGCUCUUUUGGGUCUUGUAAUUGGAAUGAGUACAAUUUAAACCUCUUAACGAGGAACAAUUGGAGGGCAAGUCUGGUGCCAGCAGCCGCGGUAAUUCCAGCUCCAAUAGCGUAUAUUAAAGUUGUUGCAGUUAAAAAGCUCGUAGUUGAACCUUGGGUCUGGCUGGCAGGUCCGCCUCACCGCGUGUACUUGUCCGGCCGGGCCUUCCUUCUGGAGAACCUCAUGCCCUUCACUGGGCGUGUUGGGGACCAGGACUUUUACUUUGAAAAAAUUAGAGUGUUCAAAGCAGGCCUUUGCUCGAAUACGUUAGCAUGGAAUAAUAGAAUAGGACGUGCGGUCCUAUUUUGUUGGUUUCUAGGACCGCCGUAAUGAUUAAUAGGGACAGUCGGGGGCAUCAGUAUUCAAUUGUCAGAGGUGAAAUUCUUGGAUUUAUUGAAGACUAACUACUGCGAAAGCAUUUGCCAAGGAUGUUUUCAUUAAUCAGUGAACGAAAGUUAGGGGAUCGAAGACGAUCAGAUACCGUCGUAGUCUUAACCGUAAACUAUGCCGACUAGGGAUCGGGCGAUGUUCUUUUUCUGACUCGCUC
rnacentral:rRNA from 6 species